rnacentral:rRNA from 1 species
GUGCCAGCAGCCGCGGUAAGACGAACCGUGCGAACGUUGUUCGGAAUCACUGGGCAUAAAGGGCGCGUAGGCGGCUCUCCAAGUCAGGGGUGAAAUCCGGCAGCUUAACUGUCGAAGUGCCUUUGAUACUGGGGAGCUCGAGGGAGGUAGGGGUCUGUGGAACUUCCGGUGGAGCGGUGAAAUGCGUUGAUAUCGGAAGGAACGCCGGUGGCGAAAGCGGCGUGCUGGACCUCUUCUGACGCUGAGGAACGAAAGCUAGGGGAGCAAACGGGAUUAGAUACCCGCGUAGUCC